rnacentral:rRNA from 1 species
CAGUAGCCGCGGGAAUACGAAGGGGGCUAGCGUUGUUCGGAUUUACUGGGCGUAAAGCGCACGUAGGCGGAUCGAUCAGUCAGGGGUGAAAUCCCAGAGCUCAACUCUGGAACUGCCUUUGAUACUGUCGAUCUGGAGUAUGGAAGAGGUGAGUGGAAUUCCGAGUGUAGAGGUGAAAUUCGUAGAUAUUCGGAGGAACACCAGUGGCGAAGGCGGCUCACUGGUCCAUUACUGACGCUGAGGCUCGAAAGCGUGGGGAGCAAACAGGAUUAGAUACCCCCGUAGUCCCUGUCUCUUAUAA